rnacentral:rRNA from 1 species
UGGGGAAUAUUGCACAAUGGGCGCAAGCCUGAUGCAGCCAUGCCGCGUGUGUGAAGAAGGCCUUCGGGUUGUAAAGCACUUUCAGCGAGGAGGAAGGGUAGUGUGUUAAUAGCACAUUGCAUUGACGUUACUCGCAGAAGAAGCACCGGCUAACUCCGUGCCAGCAGCCGCGGUAAUACGGAGGGUGCAAGCGUUAAUCGGAAUUACUGGGCGUAAAGCGCGCGCAGGCGGUUUGUUAAGUCAGAUGUGAAAUCCCCGCGCUUAACGUGGGAACUGCAUUUGAAACUGGCAAGCUAGAGUCUUGUAGAGGGGGGUAGAAUUCCAGGUGUAGCGGUGAAAUGCGUAGAGAUCUGGAGGAAUACCGGUGGCGAAGGCGGCCCCCUAGACAAAGACUGACGCUCAGGUGCGAAAGCGUGGGGAGCAAACA